GACAUGACUCUCGGCAAUGGAUAUCUCGGCUCUUGCAUCGAUGAAGAGCGCAGCGAAAUGCGAUACGUGGUGCGAAUUGCAGAAUCCCGUGAACCAUCGAGUCUUUGAACGCAAGUUGCGCCCGAGGCCUUUCGGCCAAGGGCACGUUCGCCUGGGCGUCAAGC
rnacentral:rRNA from 1 species